rnacentral:lncRNA from 1 species
AUUUCAUGUACAGACUAAAUAGGACAGUGUUAUGAAAAUACUCAGUGAUUUCCGUUAUUCAUAGCUACAUUCGAUAUAUAAAUUAGCUACAUUCAACUAAUAAAAUGAAUGCAAAUAGUUAACUAUGACCUAUAAAACGACAGACGUGUUAUAUGUUCAGAUGAACAAUUCGUUUUACAGAACUAUAGUGUCAGGCAAACAUCGAUAAUUUAAGCUGGGCCAACUUCAGCAUGGGAGAAGACGGUUUUUCAAGGUCUUCAAUACCUUUUUCCCUUCUCUGCGCAAAACGUCAUUCUUCCAGAAAAAGAUCAAACAGUUCAAUGUAGAAUUGUAGAAGAUACGGUGGCAACCCAAAAUUCAAACACACUCGUAUUCUGUGACGACCAUUUCUCAGCCAAUUUCAACACAAUGAAGACGAACGCAGGAGUGUACAUCAACACCAAACAGGCAACUGCCAACAAACAAGUAUGAAUCUUCUUUACAUUAAGAUGCAAGGUUGAUUCCUCGGGUGACGCUGUGUUGUCACGUCGCCCUUUUCUUGAAAUCAUAAACAAUUUGUAGUUUAUGAACACAAUUGGUAGAAAUAUAAUGGCGAAGAAAAUUGAUAAAGCCACCGGCAAGGAAAUUACAGAGUCGUUCAGAGAAAUCACUAUUAUGAUAAUUGGUAGAAUACAUAAUACAGCGAGGAGUGUUAGCAGUCCGCGUCUGGUUACUGAUGUUCGAUGAAAGAAAGGAUAGUAUACUCCCAAAUAUCGUUCAAUAUUCAUUACCAGAAGUGCGACGAUAGAAAAGCCAAUGAACGAGUUUGAAAAACACCUGUAAAUCUCGGUCACAAGAAAUACAUCAUACUCUUCAUUUAACGCAAAGACUAGGUGAAGGAUAAUGAACGGAUGAUUGGUUAUGGCCACAAGAAAGUCGAAGCACGAUAGCACCAUGAUCAUGAAAUAACAUAAUUUCUUUCGCAGAUACGCCGAGGAUUUCCAAAAACUGACGAUCACCAAUGUGUUUAAAAUCACUCCUGCACAAAUAAACAUUACGUUCACCACGCACAAAACUAUUAACUGAAUGUAAACUGUUAGAUCCAUCUUCGAAUGAUAAAAUCAACAACUAAAAUCAAAUUAAAAUCAAAACAACACUAGCUUCCGUGUUGCUGAAUAUUCUAUCAAAGGGAACAGAGCGUAGGCGGGCUAUACGGCCGGUUAUGUCAAGAAAGCAAACACUCGUUUUCAUUGAGUGAUAUAAACAUCGGUAGUACACA